rnacentral:rRNA from 1 species
CCUACGGGUGACAGCAGUGGGGAAUAUUGCACAAUGGGGGAAACCCUGAUGCAGCGACGCCGCGUGAGUGAAGAAGUAAUUCGUUAUGUAAAGCUCUAUCAGCAGGGAAGAAAAUGACGGUACCUGAGUAAGAAGCCACGGCUAACUACGUGCCAGCAGCCGCGGUAAGACGUAGGGGGCAAGCGUUAUCCGGAUUUACUGGGUGUAAAGGGAGCGUAGACGGCAGUUCAACUCUUGAGUGAAAGGCGGGGGACCAACCCCCGGACUGCUCUGGAAACUGUACGGCUGGAGUGCAGGAGAGGUAAGUGGAAUUCCUAGUGUAGCGGUGAAAUGCGUAAAUAUAAGGAGGAACACCAGUGGCGAAGGCGGCUUACUGGACUGUUACUGACGUUGAGGCUCGAAAGCGUGGGGAGCAAACAGGAUUAGAUACCCCGGUAGUC